rnacentral:sRNA from 1 species
CAUUUGUUAUCAUCAUCCCUGAAUUCAGAGAUGAAAUUUUGGCCACUCACGAGUGGCCU